GUGAAGAGCUUAUUUCAGACUCCUUCCCAUACAAGGAACUAUUGAAUGGGUUCCUAUGAGAAGUUGAAGAAAAGUUAUGGAUAAUGAAAACAAUGCUCCUUCGUUAUUAAAGUCGAUUGAGGACUAUGAUCCUAUAUUUUUCGAAUUGUUCGUCGACCAAAAACAGUUAUGGAUCAUGAAAACAACGCUCCUUCGUUGUUAAAGUUGAUUGAGAACUAUGAUCCUAUAUUUU